rnacentral:siRNA from 1 species
CUCAUUGGUGAUACUUUGAGG